GACCCAGAACCCUAACAUCUAAACCAAUGGUACCCAAAUAGGGGCAGUUUUGCCCUCUAAGGAACGUUUGGCAGUGUCUGAAGACAUUUUUCAUUGUCACAACUGAGGGUGGGGUGCUAUUGCUAAAUAUCCUAGGAUGCACAGGACAUGUCCUACUUUACCCUACCCCCCACACACAACAAAGAAUUAUCUGACCCUACAUAUCAGUAAUGUUCUAAUCCUGUGGUUUGUGUGAUUCUGGUAAGGGCCUGAGCAAAUGUUCUUGACUCCCACCAGAUUGGAAAAUAUUUUCAGUGGGUAUUGUCUGGUGGGUUAGAUUAAACUUUAGGUCCUCUAGCAAUUCUCUGUCUUUGCAGGGGGGUUGAGGGAAAAUUAAAAGGAAAUCUGUGACAUAAUGCAGAUAUUCUUUAGUCUGUUUAGUUGUCUUCAAAUUUGAAGUAAAAAAUUUUUUUCCUGGGCUUCCCUGCCUUACUUUACUGCAGAUUUGAACUAUUAUGUUUUGAACUGUUUGUUACUGGUGCGUAGGUUUUUGAAAUUGGAAAUAGAUAAAUAGUAUUUUCUCUAUCUAGAUUUUUUUUCCUGGUAGCUUCAACUGCGAAGAAAAGAGAGAAGUAAGCUAAAGUGUUUUAAUUAAUUAAUAGUGUAUGUUGUGAUGCAGAAAAAUUCAAAGCUUGUACAUGAAUCUCAUCUUUUUUUUUUCUUAUGGGCCCCUUUUGACUCUAAUUUCUUUAUAACAAGCUUCAUUUGGUGAAAGAAGAAGAAAAGAUUGAAAAGUUGGAAUCACUUUUGCUAUUUACCAGCCUUAUGACUUUAGAUAAAUUACUCAAUCUUUCUGAGCCUCAGUUUUCUCAUCUAUAAAGUAGGAAUGAGGGCUUCCCUGGUGGUGCAGUGGUUGAGAGUCCGCCUGCCGAUGCAGGGGACACGGGUUCGUGCCCCGGUCUGGGAAGAUCCCACAUGCC